rnacentral:tRNA from 1 species
AAGGGAGUGGCGGAAUUGGUAGACGCUAUAAGUCGGAUGGGAUAGAGUUUUAUUAGCUCAAGGUUUAGUGUUCUUAACAAAAAAACACUGGGAAAAACUCAUACAGGUUCGAAUCCUGUCUCCCUUA